GUCCAAGCGGAGUAGAGAGCUGCGUAGUCAAGUACGCGCGGCGAUUCAAAACCGUGAUGGGGAGGGAAAACAAGUACCGAAGCAGAUGAUUUCACACUGGCGAGAAAAGCUGCUAUCGAGCAAAGGGGUACCCGUACCGCAAACCGACACAGGUGGAUGAGGAGAGAAUCCUAAGACGAGCGGGAGAAGUGUUGUUAAGGAACUCGGCAAAUUAACCCCGUAAGUUCGCAAGAGGGGUGCCUCGUGAGAGGCCGCAGAGAAAUGGCCCAAGCAACUGUUUAACAAAAACACAGGUCUCCGCUAAAUCGAAAGAUGAAGUAUGGGGGCUGACGCCUGCCCGGUGCUGGAAGGUCACGGGGAUCUGUUAGCGCAAGCGAAGCAGUGAACUUAAGCCCCAGUAAACGGCGGCCGUAACCAUAACGGUCCUAAGGUAGCGAAAUUCCUUGUCAGGUAAGUUCUGACCCGCACGAAUGGCGUAAUGACUUGGGCACUGUCUCAACAACAUACCCGGUGAAAUUGUAGUACUUGUGAAGAUGCAAGUUACCCGCGACUAGACGGAAAGACCCCAUGGAGCUUCACUGUAGAUUGCUGCUGGGAUUCGAUAUUGUCUGUACAGGAUAGGUGGGAGGCGUAGAACGCAUGGCGUCAGUUGUGCGGGAGCCGACGUUGGGAUACCACUCUGACAGUAUUGGGUCUCUAACUGGUGGCCGUAAUCCGGCCACAGGACAAUGGCAGUCGGGCAGUUUGACUGGGGCGGUCGCCUCCAAAAAAGUAACGGAGGCGUCCAAAGGUCACCUCAGUACGGUUGGAAAUCGUGCAGCGAGUGCAAAGGCAUAAGGUGGCCUGACUGCGAGACAAACACGUCGAGCAGGGACGAAAGUCGGGCUUAGUGAUCCGGCGGUAGAAAGUGGAAUUGCCGUCGCUCAACGGAUAAAAGUUACCCUGGGAUAACAGGCUGAUCUCCCCCAAGAGUUCACAUCGACGGGGAGGUUUGGCACCUGAUGUCGGCUCAUCACAUCCUGGGGCUGUAGCAGGUCCCAAGGGUUCGGCUGUUCGCCGAUUAAAGUGGUACGCGAGCUGGGUUCAGAACGUCGUGAGACAGUUCGGUCCCUAUCUAUCGUGGGCGCAGGAAAUUUGAGAGGCGCUGUCCCUAGUACGAGAGGACCGGGAUGGACAAACCUAUGGUGCACCAGUUGUCACGCCAGUGGCAUGGCUGGAUAGCUAAGUUUGGAUGGGAUAAACGCUGAAGGCAUCUAAGUGUGAAACCCACCUCAAGAUGAGAUUUCCCACAGCAAUGGUAAGGGCCCUGGAAGACUACCAGGUUGAUAGGCCGGGUGUGUAAGUGCAGCAAUGCAUUCAGCAGACCGGUACUAAUAGCCCGAGGACUUGAC
rnacentral:rRNA from 1 species